UACGAGGGGGCGAGCGUUGUUCGGAAUUAUUGGGCGUAAAGGGCGCGUAGGCGGUGCGGUAAGUCACCUGUGAAACCUCUAGGCUUAACCUAGAGCCUGCAGGCGAAACUGCCGUGCUGGAGUGUGGGAGAGGUGCGGUGGAAUUCCCGGUGUAGCGGUGAAAUGCGUAGAUGAGUCGGAGGAACACCUGUGGCGAAAGCGGCGCACUGGACCACAACUGACGCUGAGGCGCGAAAGCUAGGGGAGCAAACAGG
rnacentral:rRNA from 1 species